AUGUCAGAGGGGGGUAGAAUUCCACGUGUAGCAGUGAAAUGCGUAGAGAUGUGGAGGAAUACCGAUGGCGAAGGCAGCCCCCUGGGACGUCACUGACGCUCAUGCACGAAAGCGUGGGGAGCAAACAGGAUUAGAUACCCUGGUAGUCCACGCCCUAAACGAUGUCAACUAGUUGUUGGGGAUUCAUUUCUUCAGUAACGUAGCUAACGCGUGAAGUUGACCGCCUGGGGAGUACGGUCGCAAGAUUAAAACUCAAAUGAAUUGACGGAG
rnacentral:rRNA from 1 species